rnacentral:rRNA from 1 species
GGGUUGUGAGGUUAAGCGACUAAGCGUACACGGUGGAUGCCCUGGCAGUCAGAGGCGAUGAAGGGCGUGCUAAUCUGCGAUAAGCGCCGGUAAGGUGAUAUGAACCGUUAUAACCGGCGAUACCCGAAUGGGGAAACCCAGUGUGACUCGUCACACUAUCAUUAACUGAAUCCAUAGGUUAAUGAGGCGAACCGGGGGAACUGAAACAUCUAAGUACCCCGAGGAAAAGAAAUCAACCGAGAUUCCCCCAGUAGCGGCGAGCGAACGGGGAGGAGCCCAGAGCCUGAAUCAGCAUGUGUGUUAGUGGAAGCGUCUGGAAAGGCGCGCGAUACAGGGUGACAGCCCCGUACACAAAAGCGCAUGUGCUGUGAGCUCGAUGAGUAGGGCGGGACACGUGGUAUCCUGUCUGAAUAUGGGGGGACCAUCCUCCAAGGCUAAAUACUCCUGACUGACCGAUAGUGAACCAGUACCGUGAGGGAAAGGCGAAAAGAACCCCGGCGAGGGGAGUGAAAAAGAACCUGAAACCGUGUACGUACAAGCAGUGGGAGCACCCUUUGGGUGUGACUGCGUACCUUUUGUAUAAUGGGUCAGCGACUUAUAUUCUGUAGCAAGGUUAACCGAAUAGGGGAGCCGGAGGGAAACCGAGUCUUAACCGGGCGUUAAGUUGCAGGGUAUAGACCCGAAACCCGGUGAUCUAGCCAUGGGCAGGUUGAAGGUUGGGUAACACUAACUGGAGGACCGAACCGACUAAUGUUGAAAAAUUAGCGGAUGACCUGUGGCUGGGGGUGAAAGGCCAAUCAAACCGGGAGAUAGCUGGUUCUCCCCGAAAGCUAUUUAGGUAGCGCCUCGUGAAUUCAUCUCCGGGGGUAGAGCACUGUUUCGGCUAGGGGGCCAUCCCGGCUUACCAACCCGAUGCAAACUGCGAAUACCGGAGAAUGUUAUCACGGGAGACACACGGCGGGUGCUAACGUCCGUCGUGAAGAGGGAAACAACCCAGACCGCCAGCUAAGGUCCCAAAGUCAUGGUUAAGUGGGAAACGAUGUGGGAAGGCCCAGACAGCCAGGAUGUUGGCUUAGAAGCAGCCAUCAUUUAAAGAAAGCGUAAUAGCUCACUGGUCGAGUCGGCCUGCGCGGAAGAUGUAACGGGGCUAAACCAUGCACCGAAGCUGCGGCAGCGACACUGUGUGUUGUUGGGUAGGGGAGCGUUCUGUAAGCCUNNNNNNNNNNNNNNNNNNNNNUGCUGGAGGUAUCAGAAGUGCGAAUGCUGACAUAAGUAACGAUAAAGCGGGUGAAAAGCCCGCUCGCCGGAAGACCAAGGGUUCCUGUCCAACGUUAAUCGGGGCAGGGUGAGUCGACCCCUAAGGCGAGGCCGAAAGGCGUAGUCGAUGGGAAACGGGUUAAUAUUCCCGUACUUGGUGUUACUGCGAAGGGGGGACGGAGAAGGCUAUGUUGGCCGGGCGACGGUUGUCCCGGUUUAAGCGUGUAGGUGUGUGUUCCAGGUAAAUCCGGUUCACUUUAACACUGAGGCGUGACGACGAGGCACUACGGUGCUGAAGCAACAAAUGCCCUGCUUCCAGGAAAAGCCUCUAAGCAUCAGGUAACAUCAAAUCGUACCCCAAACCGACACAGGUGGUCAGGUAGAGAAUACCAAGGCGCUUGAGAGAACUCGGGUGAAGGAACUAGGCAAAAUGGUGCCGUAACUUCGGGAGAAGGCACGCUGACACGUAGGUGAAGUGAUUUACUCAUGGAGCUGAAGUCAGUCGAAGAUACCAGCUGGCUGCAACUGUUUAUUAAAAACACAGCACUGUGCAAACACGAAAGUGGACGUAUACGGUGUGACGCCUGCCCGGUGCCGGAAGGUUAAUUGAUGGGGUCAGCGCAAGCGAAGCUCCUGAUCGAAGCCCCGGUAAACGGCGGCCGUAACUAUAACGGUCCUAAGGUAGCGAAAUUCCUUGUCGGGUAAGUUCCGACCUGCACGAAUGGCGUAAUGAUGGCCAGGCUGUCUCCACCCGAGACUCAGUGAAAUUGAACUCGCUGUGAAGAUGCAGUGUACCCGCGGCAAGACGGAAAGACCCCGUGAACCUUUACUAUAGCUUGACACUGAACAUUGAGCCUUGAUGUGUAGGAUAGGUGGGAGGCUUUGAAGUGUGGACGCCAGUCUGCAUGGAGCCGACCUUGAAAUACCACCCUUUAAUGUUUGAUGUUCUAACGUGGACCCGUUACCCGGGUUGCGGACAGUGUCUGGUGGGUAGUUUGACUGGGGCGGUCUCCUCCUAAAGAGUAACGGAGGAGCACGAAGGUUGGCUAAUCCUGGUCGGACAUCAGGAGGUUAGUGCAAUGGCAUAAGCCAGCUUGACUGCGAGCGUGACGGCGCGAGCAGGUGCGAAAGCAGGUCAUAGUGAUCCGGUGGUUCUGAAUGGAAGGGCCAUCGCUCAACGGAUAAAAGGUACUCCGGGGAUAACAGGCUGAUACCGCCCAAGAGUUCAUAUCGACGGCGGUGUUUGGCACCUCGAUGUCGGCUCAUCACAUCCUGGGGCUGAAGUAGGUCCCAAGGGUAUGGCUGUUCGCCAUUUAAAGUGGUACGCGAGCUGGGUUUAGAACGUCGUGAGACAGUUCGGUCCCUAUCUGCCGUGGGCGCUGGAGAACUGAGGGGGGCUGCUCCUAGUACGAGAGGACCGGAGUGGACGCAUCACUGGUGUUCGGGUUGUCAUGCCAAUGGCACUGCCCGGUAGCUAAAUGCGGAAGAGAUAAGUGCUGAAAGCAUCUAAGCACGAAACUUGCCCCGAGAUGAGUUCUCCCUGAGACUUAGAGUCUCCUGAAGGAACGUUGAAGACGACGACGUUGAUAGGCCGGGUGUGUAAGCGCAGCGAUGCGUUGAGCUAACCGGUACUAAUGAACCGUGAGGCUUAACCUUACAACGCCGAAG